AUGAACGCUGGCGGCGUGCCUAAUACAUGCAAGUCGAGCGAACAGACGAGGAGCUUGCUCCUCUGACGUUAGCGGCGGACGGGUGAGUAACACGUGGAUAACCUACCUAUAAGACUGGGAUAACUUCGGGAAACCGGAGCUAAUACCGGAUAAUAUAUUGAACCGCAUGGUUCAAUAGUGAAAGACGGUUUUGCUGUCACUUAUAGAUGGAUCCGCGCCGCAUUAGCUAGUUGGUAAGGUAACGGCUUACCAAGGCAACGAUGCGUAGCCGACCUGAGAGGGUGAUCGGCCACACUGGAACUGAGACACGGUCCAGACUCCUACGGGACGCAGCAGUAGGGAAUCUUCCGCAAUGGGCGAAAGCUUGACGGAGCAACGCCGCGUGAGUGAUGAAGGUCUUCGGAUCGUAAAACUCUGUUAUUAGGGAAGAACAAAUGUGUAAGUAACUAUGCACGUCUUGACGGUACCUAAUCAGAAAGCCACGGCUAACUACGUG
rnacentral:rRNA from 1 species